GAUGAACGCUAGCGGCAGGCUUAAUACAUGCAAGUCGUGGGGCAGCACAAAUAGCAAUAUUGGGUGGCGACCGGCAAACGGGUGCGGAACACGUACGCAACCUUCCUUCGAGCGGGGAAUAGCCCAGAGAAAUUUGGAUUAAUACCCUAUAAUAUUUUGAGAUGGCAUCAUCUUAUUAUUAAAGCUCCGGCACUUGAAGAUGGGCGUGCGCCUGAUUAGGAGUUGGCGGGGUAAUAGCCCACCAAGCCUUCGAUCAGUAACUGGUGUGAGAGCAUGACCAGUCACACGGGCACUGAGACACGGGCCCGACUCCUACGGGAGGCAGCAGUAAGGAAUAUGGGCAAUGGACGCAAGUCUGACCCAGCCAUGCCGCGUGGAGGAUGAAGGUCCUCUGGAUUGUAAACUUCUUUUAUCUGGGACGAAAAAGGAUUCUUUCCCGACUGACGGUACCAGGUGAAUAAGCACCGGCUAACUCCGUGCCAGCCG
rnacentral:rRNA from 1 species